rnacentral:piRNA from 1 species
UCCUAACCUCAGGUUAUCCACCCACCUUGGC